UGCUGGAGUAUUACUUUUUUAUGCCAAUUUCGACAAAAUGCUAUAGUACGACUUCUCGUGCUAUUUUGGAUGCAUGCUAUAAAAUGACUUUUUUAUGCUGUUUUGUGGUAUUUUGGAUGACAUGCUAUAGUAUAACAUUUUGGGGGAAUUUUACUGAUAUGCUAUGUUAUUACAUUUUUAUGAUAUUAUGGAUGAUUUCCUGUAGCAUGAUAUUUUUAUGCUGCCAUGGAAGAAAUGCUUUAGGAUGAGUUUUGCAUCUGUGAUGUAAUCCCCUUUCUUCCUCUCCUCAGGACGGAUCCUCUCUCCCAGUACUAGCACCAUUUGUACACAAAGCAACCAAACUUGGUUGUUACUGGGUCUGAUCAACGUUGAUGUUCCUGUAAAACUCUGCAGCAUUUUUCAGCAUGCUAUCCUGAGUCAAGUUCAGUGGGAGUUAAAGACAAAUGAGUAUUUUUAUACAGAUGUCAAAGUACCUAGGCAGACCGGCCAGGUGUCAGCAGACUAAAAAAGGAAAUAUCCUCAUUGUUUUUCUGCAUAAACCAGAUAAAAGAUCCUUUCUGCACUCUUGAAAUUUAGUUUUUAUUGAGAGGUUUUUAUGUAUUACUUACUGAAAAUUAUUUUCACUUUUAUUUAAAAUGUUCACAGCAAGCAGUCAUGUAAUGUUGGUAAAUAAAUGAAAAAAGACAAAAAAUAUUUGGAUUCCUAAAUAAAUAAUAGAUCUGUGAGUAAAUGUACACAAGUUAAAAUUGGCUCAUAUUUGAAUCAAUAAAAUGACAAACGCAAAUGUACAGUGUAAGACAGAGGGAGUCUGUUGCUCUGUCAUCAGCUGCAGCUUUGACUUAUAGAAAAGAUUUCAUAUCUAAUGAAAUGAAGAGUUUUUAUGGUAUUUUGAGCGACAUGCUAUAGCAUCAGUUUUCAUUUUUCUGGACGACAUGCUACGGUAUCACCUUUUUAUAUUAUUUUGAAUGAUAUGGUACAGUGUGAUUUUUUUAAUUCCAACUUUGGACGAUUUGCUAUAGUAUGACUUAUUAAUGUUUUUUGGAAUAUAUGCUGUAGUUUGAUGUAAUAAUGCUGUUUUGGAUGACAUCCUACACUUUGACAUUUUUAUGUUUUUUUCUGCAAAAGAAAAAGGUAUAUGCUACAAAUCACUGAUUGAUGAGUGGGUUACCCUCAUGAACCAGUGAUUUGUUAUUUUGUUUCAUGGGUUUAAGCUUACAGGUUAGCUGAUUUCCCUUCUUUCCAGUCUUUGUGCGAAGCAUUAUUAGCUUGCUGAGAGCAGCAGCUACAUUCUCGCCGUUUUAUUCAGACUAAUACUGUGAUAAUGGAUGAAGACUGACGGGAGAUGUCUAUUCACGUCGCUAGAUUUUGCCUUUCUUCAUGAUUUUGUGAAAUUAAACAAAAAGAAAAUAUGUUUGGGAAUUUUUGUUUUUCGCUCGAUUUUUUUUCAUUAACAAUCUGGCGCUUAUUAUAAUCGGCAGUUCCACUUAACCUGUACUAAUUUUAAAAGAGCAGUCUUGUUAAACUUAGCUUGAGUGUGAAGUUGUUCUACACUGCAGCCAAGCUGGUUAAAGGACAGAGCAACAGACCUGACAGAAAAGUUACAGUCAGUGGUGUUUCUAAAAUUAAAUAAUGAUCAGUCCUGUGGUUGUGGAGUAAAAAUCUAUAAAUAACAAUACCACGUUUGUUUAACAGUAACUUUGAUUUUUCCUGUUUAUAUUAUACAAUGUUCAAAUGUAGCUACAUUAUCCUAAAUAACAUUGUGUUCACAUAAAAAUAAGCUUUCAUUUUACAAACACGCUCCCAAAAAAAAAUAAAAAAUAAUCUGCUGAGGAUGUCAAUCGAUAAAAGUCUUUGGUGCCAGUGUGGCACUACUGCAUUUGCAUCCAGUGAUCGAGAGAUGCAUGAGCCACAGAUUCACUGAUAAGUAAAAAUCAUGCAUGCACACUAACAUUUAACACUGCAGAUAAAAACAUCAUGAUUCUUCAGUGGCAGGCGACACAAAUCUGCAUCGGUUAAAUUUAAAGAAAAAUCAGUGCAUUUUGUUGUAUAUAUUAAUACACAAUUGAGGAUGUACUUCCUGCGGCAGCUGAAGAAAUUCAGCCUGCCAAAGACAAUGAUGGUGCACUUCUACACCGCCAUCAUCGAGGCAGCAGCCACGGCGAGGGACAAGAACAGGCUGCAGCGUAUCAUCCGCGCUGUAGAGAGAGUGACUGGCUGCCACCUGCCACUGUCCUGUACACCUGCAGGGCCCUGAGGCGUGCAGGUAAAAUUGUGGCCGACCCUCUUACCCUGGACACGGACUUUUUGAAACCCUCCCCUUUGGCGAGAGGCUGCGGUCCAUCAGGACCAAAACCUCACACCUCAAGAACAGUUUCUUCC